AUUGAACGCUGGCGGCAGGCUUAACACAUGCAAGUCGAGCGGGGUGAUGGUGCUUGCACUAUCACUUAGCGGCGGACGGGUGAGUAAUGCUUAGGAAUCUGCCUAUUAGUGGGGGACAACAUCUCGAAAGGGAUGCUAAUACCGCAUACGUCCUACGGGAGAAAGCAGGGGAUCACUUGUGACCUUGCGCUAAUAGAUGAGCCUAAGUCGGAUUAGCUAGUUGUUGGGGUAAAGGCCUACCAAGGCGACGAUCUGUAGCGGGUCUGAAAGGAUGAUCCGCCACACUGGGACUGAGACACGGCCCAGACUCCUACGGGAGGCAGCAGUGGGGAAUAUUGGACAAUGGGGGGAACCCUGAUCCAGCCAUGCCGCGUGUGUGAAGAAGGCCUUAUGGUUGUAAAGCACUUUAAGUGAGGAGGAGGCUCUUUUGGUUAAUACCCAAGAUGAGUGGACGUUACUCGCAGAAUAAGCACCGGCUAACUCUGUGCCAGCCGCCGCCGUAA
rnacentral:rRNA from 1 species